UUUACUCCCGGGGAUGUCUCUAGCAGGAGCCGCGAAACCUCGCUCCCGCCAGCCUGCCCCGCCCCCUGCGCCGCGUCGAGGAGCGCUCACCCCGGCUUCACUCCUGCUCUCGGGGUUCACCUGCCUCCUCUGGAGUCCUCUUCGUCCCGCGACUCCUCUCAAUUUUGCGACCUCCUCUCCUCAAGGUGCCUCUUUGCAGCUCUAGACUUUGCUCCACGCGCGUCCGCAGAAGCCAUUUCAAAAUGAAAGAAGACUGUUUUCACCUGGACCCAACAAAUGUUCAGGAAGCCUGUUCCAGCUGCUGGAGACGAAGAAGGAAAGUGAAGGUGCUGCUGAGUCCCCUGCCCUCAUGGGACUUAGCAUCUUACUGGGUUUCUUUGUUUUGUUUGUUUUGCUUAGCAUCCAUCUUACUGGGUUUCUUUGUUUUGUUUGGUUUGUCUUUUUGCCUUUUCUAGGGCCGCUGCUCCCGUGACACAUGGAGGUUCCCAGGCAAGGGGUCUCAUCGGAGCUGUAGCAGAGCCACAGCAACGUGGGAUCCGAGCCAAGUCUGAGACCUACACCACAGCUCAUGGCAAUGCUAGAUCUGAGCGAGGGCAGGGAUCGAACCUACAACCUCAUGGUUCCUAGUCGGAUUUGUUAACCACUGAGCCACGAGGGGAACUCCAGCAUCUUACUGGUUAACACGAGGCUUUCCAAAGCGUUGUCGCCGGUUUGGGGAGGAACUUAUUAAAUCAUUUCUUUUGGUUUAUAAUUAAAAGUAGCUGGUAGUCGAACACUGUACUGUGUGACUUUACGAUGGAAUCUUCUUCCAGGAGGGUGUCUUGUGUAUAAAUUCUAGUAUGCAGAUAAUAGCUGGUAGGUAUAAAAUAAAUAUUAGUUUGUUGCUUCCAGCAAGAAAUUCAAGUUUAAUACUAUCAACAGUAAUUUCCAAAAUGACCUUUUUGAUUUGUUGUUGACUGCCAUAAACCCAGAACUAAAACUGUUUUGUUUUUCAGGUGAGACUGAUCCUUUUGUAGAAAUAUAAUUCAUGUUGUCGUUGAAGAUCGAAAUAUAAAACCCUUUGCUAAUGGAAUUUUUAAAUUAGGAACCAUGGUCCUAGAAAUUUACAAGUACAGAGUGUUCUGUACUCUAAUCAGUUAAGAAAGAGAGAUUUGUGUCAAAAAGAAAAAGGGAAGCAAGAGAGACCAUUUAAAGCGGAUCUAAUUAUUAUCAUCACAUUUUAACAUGUCCUAAGAUAGUGAUUGGCUUUAUUCAAGGAACACUCCAUUUUGCAACUCACUACAUUUACUUUUUCCAGGUUGGGUUUUUUUAUUCCAUUUUUGUAUGUUUUCUAUAUACAUGUUGUUUUAUAAGCAUGUAUGUUAUCUUUUUCAAUUAGAAUUCAUUUACAUUGCUUUAUUAUUUAAUCAAUAGCAAGAUUGGCCAUUGACACAGAUUUGAUUUUAAAACUCAAUUAUUUUCCAGCAUAUACUUAGGACUAUAUGUAAGAGUUAAACACAAAGCAAAUUCCUUUACCCACGUGAGUGUAAUUGAAGAGAAGUUUUCUCAACAGCAUCCUAUGCUUGCUUAACGUUCAGAUAGGCCAACAUUGCAGCUAAAAUUAUUUCCUUGGUCACCAUUUAUCUUCAGUAGUUAUUAUCAUAGUUUAUUUUCAUCUAAGUGCCAUUGUUGAUCAUUCUGCCCGUACUACCCUAUAUUUUCUCUGAUACAACAAUAUUUCCCUGAGUGGACUGUCCAACAUUAGACUUCCUUUAAUGGGUUUAGAUAUAAAUAAUUGUAUAAAGUUCUGCUUAAAUGCAAUUGUUAGUUCAGAAAUAUGCUAUGUAAAUAAUAUUGAAGAAUUAAAACUAAAUUUUAAAAAAAUUAUACCAAAAGUUUCAAAAAUACGAUAAUAUGCACAUUAUACUAUUUUGAAUUAAUGACAAAAUCUGUACGAAAUAUUUUUAUUUUUACAUUUGUACUUUUUUUAGUAGAACAAAGCAAUUACAGUGUAAAAACACGUUUCCAGAUGUAUUUCCUUGAAUUUUUAAAACUCCAGCUUCUGCGCAGUAUUUCUGAUGAUACUUAGAGUCUAUGUAAACUGAACGGGUUAAGGCCCCUUCCAUUAAUAUGCAAACUUUACUUCCUAGUACAGCCAGUAUGUAGUAAACCAAUAGGAUUUGGAGAAGAGCAUGAAAACUGCAGAAGGAAAGCUAUUGAUCCCUUUCAUCUUAUUUUCAUAGGUACUAAUGGCAUACCCAUGCCGUCUCCAAGGUGAGAGACAGAGAAAAUGCAAAAGAGAAAAUUCAGAGGUGGAAGAUUAAUCUUAGACAUGGCACAGGAUUUUCUACGGAGUCCUACUAAAAGACAGGUAAGUAGCUCUUGGUGCCACGAUUGUUAUAAACUCUUAUAGUUGCUACUGUGUGAAUGGAUGUAACAUUUUAUUGUGCAUAAGCUAUCUUCUUUACAAAAUAAAACAAACAAACAAAUCAACAGCUAUUACCAUUGUAAAAUUUUAACAUAGUCCAGACUGGGUGUAUGGAUUAGGGAGAAAUAUUGUUUCCCAGUUCAUCAUGUGGUCACUUGCCUGGAGGAUGAACCAUGUCAGAAGAGAAAAGGCAGGUAGUUUCUAAUCACAAUACAUGGGCACAGACCUGUCUUUUUAUGCAUAGAAUCAUGUGCUGUCGAUAAAACCCCUGUGGUGUUGUUUUAUUCAUGAAUACAGGUCAACUUAGGCAAUUUUGAAGGAAAGAAUAAGAAUCCAAGGAAGCCACCUCAAUUCAUUUCCCUCCAAAUUCUCUUCUUAUCUUUGCUAAAUAGUGUUGUUUUUAUUUUCCAUGGAGGAAAUCAGGAAAUGGCAUAUUGUGCUCUGGCAAAUUAAUUUCCAUGUGUCAACGUAGUUUUCACAGUGGGCAUUUUUACACUCUGCUUUAUAAAAUUAGUUUCAUUUCAUAUUUUCAUGCAUCAGCCACACAGUUGAUGUUUUUAGAGCCCUGUAGUGAUCUUCUGUUGUAAUAGGACUGAUUUUGGUUGGCCAUCUCCUAUUCCCAGCCAUUUUGGUUUUCCCAGUUAUUAUUUUUUUUUUGUGGUCAUAAGUAGCAUCAAUCUAAAUAUUUGUAAGUAAAUAACUUUUUAAUCUGUAUAUUUCCUUGGAAGAUGUUGCAUAAUGUAGGAUUCUUUGUGUCAAAUCAUGUCUAAUAGUUUCACAGUUCAUAAUGUCUUUUUAUUUUCCCAAACUAAAACAAUUGAAAAUGUGACCAGGAGUUCCCAUUGUGGCUCCACGAUAACAAGCCCAACUAGUGUCCAUGAGGAUGCAGGUUCGAUCCCAGGCCUCACUCAGUGGGUUAAGGAUCCAGCAUUGCUGUGAGCUGCAAUGUCAGUCACAGAUGCAGCUCGGAUCUGGCAUUGCUGUGGCUAUGGCUGUGGCAUAGGCCCACAGCUACAGAUCCAAUUUGACCCGUAGCCUGGGAA
rnacentral:lncRNA from 1 species